rnacentral:rRNA from 1 species
GACGUAGGGCGCGAGCGUUGUCCGGAAUUAUUGGGCGUAAAGAGCUCGUAGGUGGUUUGUUACGUCUGCUGUGAAAACCUAGGGCUUAACCCUGGGCUUGCAGUGGAUACGGGCAGACUAGAGGUAGGUAGGGGAGAAUGGAAUUCCCGGUGUAGCGGUGAAAUGCGCAGAUAUCGGGAGGAACACCGGUGGCGAAGGCGGUUCUCUGGGCCUUACCUGACGCUGAGGAGCGAAAGCGUGGGGAGCGAACAGG